rnacentral:rRNA from 1 species
GAUGAACGCUAGAGGCAGGCUUAAUACAUGCAAGUCGUGGGGCAGCAUGAGUGUAGCAAUACAUUUGAUGGCGACCGGCAAACGGGUGCGGAACACGUACACAACCUUCCUUCAAGUGGGGAAUAGCCCAGGGAAACUUGGAUUAAUACCCCGUAAUAUUAUGGAGUGGCAUCACUUUAUAAUUAUAGCUCCGGCGCUUGAUGAUGGGUGUGCGCCUGAUUAGGUAGUUGGCGGGGUAACGGCCCACCAAGCCUGCGAUCAGUAACUGGUGUGAAGGCACAACCAGAAACACGGGAACGGAGACACGGGCCCGACUCCUACGGGAGGCAGCAGUAAGGAAUAUUGGUCAAUGGACGCAAGUCUGAACCAUCCAUGCCGCGUGGAGGAUGAAGGUCCUCUGGAUUGUAAACUUCUUUUAUCUGGGAAGAAAUCUACUUUUUCUAAAGUGGUUGACGGUACCAGAUGAAUAAGCACCGGCUAACUCCGUGCCAGCCGCCGCCGUAACAC